CCUUAUCACUUCUUCUCGCCCGGUCUGUACUUGAGGAACUGGACGGAGAACUGAUAAGGGC
rnacentral:pre_miRNA from 1 species